rnacentral:rRNA from 1 species
UCGAGAAUUUUUCUCAAUGGGGGAAACCCUGAAGGAGCGACGCCGCGUGGAGGAUGAAGGUCUUCGGAUUGUAAACUCCUGUCAUUCGAGAACAAGGUCCGCCGUGUAACUAACGGCGGACUCGAUAGUAUCGAAAGAGGAAGGGACGGCUAACUCUGUGCCAGCAGCCGCGGUAAUACAGAGGUCCCGAGCGUUGUUCGGAUUCAUUGGGCGUAAAGGGUGCGUAGGCGGCAUGGCAAGUCGGGUGUGAAAUCCCGGGGCUCAACCCCGGAACUGCACUCGAUACUGCCGUGCUUGAGUGUUGGAGAGGAGACUGGAAUUUACGGUGUAGCAGUGAAAUGCGUAGAUAUCGUAAGGAAGACCGGUGGCGAAGGCUAGUCUCUGGACAACUACUGACGCUGAGGCACGAAGGCCAGGGGAGCAAACGG